GCCAAUUUAAGGUAUGUAUGUUCCAUCUUAAAAUAUUCACCGUACAAUAUGAUUCCAAGUAUUGCUGAUAGGAGGUAGUCAUGCACAAGUAUUCAACAACUUUUUCUGUGAUAAGAUACCUUAAGCUUUUCUAAGUGAAAUGCAGGAUUGAUUAUCUUUCUGUGUUUCACCCAUUUUUCUCCUUCAUGGUUUAUAAGUCCAUUUGUAAGCAGCUUGAGAUGGGGAUACAUAAGUGGCUUCUGGAUAUCAUUGAUCAAUAACAAAAUUACAGGUAAAAUCAAUGAACAGAAAUGCAUGGGAGUUCACAAAUCAUUCGAGAAAAAGGAUUGAAAGAUGAGGAAGAUGGAGAUUGGGAUAUGUUAUACCAUAUUUCUGGAUGGUAUGAUGAACAGAAGGAAUAACACGUGGAGCAAUAUCAUUGGAGAAGUUCAUCGGCUUGGAGAUGGCCUGCUCUCUCAUGGCGUCUCUGUCCUUCAAGUCUCCAUAGAGAAUCCGGUAAGAAUUUCCGGCGAAUCCUUGCUGCCUUAAGAACUUCUCUAAUCUCCUGGGCCUCAACCAAAUCCAGUUGAGAAGUUUCCCUCCCAAUACGACUAAACUCACCACAGCUAUCCAAAUGGAUACCGUGGCUGUGACACACGCCAUCUCGACCGGUACAGACACAGUUCUGAACCUGAAAACUGAAUCAGAGCUGAGUUUCUUGAACUCUCAACGAUGGUGAAGGAGAUGCAACACAAGUCUGUUAUUUAUAUAGGACAACCACACAGUUUGCAAUAUCAUGAUAAUAGUGCUUGUACUCUAAUUUUACUUCCAAAUUUUCAUUACAAUAAAUGAUUACUAUACAU